AUAAAUGUUACUCAGCGCAUCACACGGAUGCCUUGACUCUCAAAUCCGAUGAAGGACGUGGCCAGCUGCGAAAAGCUUCGGUCAGCCGCUAGGCAGGCGCUACCAGCCGAAGAUAUCCGAAUGGGGAAACCCCAUAGACUUAAUAGUUUAUGACUUAAUUUAUUUUAAGAGGAAGACUCUGUGAACUGAAACAUCUAAGUAACAGGGGAAAAGAAAUCAAACGAGAUUCCCGUAGUAGUGGCGAGCGAACCGGGAACAGCCCAAACCCUAUAUUUAUAUAGGGGGUUGUAGGACCUCAACAUUCGAUUGUACAAAUCUAGACAAACGUUCUGGAAAGGACGGCCAUAGUGGGUGACAGCCCCGUAGUCGAAAGGUACGUACACGAUAGAGGUUUCCUGAGUAAGGUCGGACACGUGAAAUCCGGCCCGAAUCUGGGAGGACCACCUUCCAAGGCUAAACAGUUUGAGAGAUCAAUAGCGAAUAGUACCGUGAGGGAAAGGUGAAAAGCACCCCGAAAGGGGGAUGAAAUAGUUUCUGAAAUGUGAUGCGUUCAAGGAGUCGGAGCCCUGUAGCAUAGUGUAGCUUGAAGAUGUCAUGCUCGAGUCUGAGUAUGGCACAGGCUCUACUAUGCUACAGGGUCACGGCGUUCCUUUUGCCUAAUGAACCAACGACUUCGUUGUCAGUGGCAUGGCUAAGACAGUUUUAGUCGCAGCCGUAGCGAAAGCGAGUCCGAAUAGGGCGAAUUAGUCGCUGGCACGAGACCCGAAACCGGGUGAGCUAUCCAUGAGCAGGGCGAAGGUUUACGAAAGUAAACUGGAGGCCCGAACCAUAAUGUAUCGCAAGACAUUGGGAUGACUUGUGGAUUGGAGUGAAAAGCUUAUCGAACCCGGAGAUAGCUGGUUCUCCUCGAAAUGUUUUUUGGAACAGCCUCAUAGUAUACGAUGGGGGGUAGAGCUACUGUUUCGACAAGGGGGUCUUCUAGGCCUACCAAGUCCUGAUAAACUCCGAAUACCCAUCUUUUAGAGCUAUGGGAGUGAGACGGUGACAGCGAAGUGCCAUCGUCGAGAGGGCAACAGCCCAGAUCGUUUGUUAAGGUCCCAAAUAUCAGUUAAGUAUAUCAAAGGAAGUGUUUUCGCAUAGACAACCAGGAGGUUUGCUUAGAAGCAGCCAUCCUUUAAAGAAAGCGUAACAGCUCACUGGUCGAUCGCGAAAGCGCGCCGAAAAUUCACGGGAUUUAAACUGAUAACCGAAACAGCGAAUGCGAGGAAGAUGCGUCUUCCUUGUGUAGUAGAGGAGCGUUCUGUACAGCGGUGAAGCUCUGUUGUAAGGCAGGGUGGAGCGUACAGAAGUGAGAAUGUUGGUAUGAGUAACCACAAGACAGGUGAAAACCCUGUCCGCCGAAUUUCCAAGGUUUCCCACGCAACGUCGAUCGGCGUGGGGUUAGUCGGGCCUAAGGUGAGGCUGAAAAGCGUAGCCGAUGGACAGCAGUUUAAUAUUACUGCACCUCGUAUGGAUCGCCCAAACAAAGAGAUUAAGAGCUUUUUUGGCCUCUGUCUCUUCCACCCUAUACUCCUUCGAAUAACGAAGUACGAAGCACGAAUUACGACAUCGUAAUUCGUAAUUCCAGAUUCGUAAUUCGCUUAAGAGUCUAGAGUGGAAGAGAUAUGUCACGAAGGAAGUAGAUCUCGGCGUUAGGAGCGGCAUGACGGAGACGGAUGACCAGAACGUACGCAUUGACUGUACGUAGAAGGCACGAAGCGUUGAGAGUGGUAGGUAAAUCCGCCACUUGAGCAAAGUGCAUAUCAAUCGCCCCUUUAUUGGGGAAGAGUCUGGCUCAUUCGGCUUUCAAGAAAAUCGUCGCUUCCAGACACAUAUGAGACCGUACCGCAAACCAACACUGGUGGAAUGGUCGAGUAGACCAAGGCGAUCGGGACAACUUGCGUUAAGGAACUCUGCAAAAAAGCGUCCGUAACUUCGGGAUAAGGACUGCCCUAGAUUCAUUUCUAGGGCCGCAGCGAAAGAGGCCAGGCGACUGUUUACCAAAAACACAGGUCCCUGCUAAGCCGUAAGGCGAUGUAUAGGGGCUGAUGCCUGCCCAGUGUCAGAAGGUCACGUGAGGAGGUGUAUGCUUCCGAUCUAAGCCCUGAUGAACGGCGGCCGUAACUAUAACGGUCCUAAGGUAGCGAAAUUCCUUGUCGGGUGGUCAAAUUACUUGCCCGCAUGAGUAGCAAUACUCAACACUGAGGAAGUUUCGUAAAAAGUUUUAUACAUCAAGUAGGUAAGCAGUUAAUUAUUCUUUCGUAGAUGAAGACUGAUCAUCUAUAGAGUUCAAAGUAUGAAUACGGGUAAAAAGAGACAGAAGAAGACAACGUGUACCACACAGUGAGAAACGUCGCUAUAUGCUGGAAAAUCCGAUGAAUGGAGGAGUACUUGAUUGACAUUUAUUGCCGAUCAAGUGACAAUCUCUCUCCUGCGGACAAUCAGCAGGAAAUUCUCUCUUUUCUAUGAAGUAUGCAAAAUUUAUAUCAAAUCAGAAAGAUUAUGAUUUAGCAGAAUUCGCAUUGGAAACGAUGCUGCUGCAGAUGGACGAUAGUCCUUUUAAGCGUAAAGCUAAGAGCUUAGUGCUUAGUUAUAAUAUGAAGAUCAUGGCUAUGAUUUUGUCUAAUUCUACAGAUACAGAAAUAUGUGAAGCCAGAAAAAGUAUGACUGAACAUCUGGAAGAGUUGAGAAGCUCCUCAGAGACUACACGCGACAAUCCUUAGUAAUAAGGAUGAUGAUAUAGUCCGAUCCCUGCAGCGAUGUAGGGCGCCUCCAAUUCGCGAGGCGACUAAAAAACAAAGCGGCUUCGAAGUACGAAUCACGAAGUGCGAAGUACGAGAAAUCGUAAUUCGUAAUUCCAAAUUCGCAAUUCGAUUCGGUUGUGCGCUCAAGGUUUCCUUGAGUACCAGACUAACCAUCUGGUGGAACCAACAUUCGAAGUUCCGACCCGCACGAAUGGUACCACGGUCUGGUCACUGUCUCAACGCAAGGCCCGGUGAAAUUGCAAACCCGGUAAAAAUGCCGGGUUAAUCACGGUAGGACGAAAAGACCCUAUGAAGCUUCACUGUACGCUGACAUUGUGUCGUUGGAUUGCGUGCGCAGGAUAGGUGGGACGCUUUGAAGGUCGGGCUUUGGCUCGACUGGAGCGGCCGUUGAGAUACCACCCUCGCGUUCCGACGCCACUCACCUAAGGUGUUAGAAGAGUUUAUAUUUGUUGUUAGUAAUGAAACUAUUGAGAAAGUAAGGUACGUAAGGAAGGUAUUGUAGGUAAGGUAGGUGUGCAUUUAUGCAUAUUUACAUACCAUACAUACUUUACUUACCUGACCUACCUUACCAAUCGACAUAGUAUUCAUUGCCGCUAACAACGAACUGAAUUUUUCUACCACCUUAGGGACAUUGUUUGCUGGGCAGUUUAACUGGGGCGGUUGCCUCCUAAAAAGUAACGGAGGCGCGCAAUGGUUUACUAACGCCGGAUGGAAAUCGGCGCUGUCGUGUAAUCGCACAAGUAAGCCUAACUGUGAGGAUGACAAUCCGAGCAGAAGCGAAAGCUGGUGAUAGUGAUCCGGCAGCCGAGCAUUUAACUAUGCUCUUACCACGUGGGUGGGCUGUCGCUCAACGGAUAAAAGUUACUCUAGGGAUAACAGGCUGAUCGGUUCCAAGCGCCCACAGCGACGAACCGGUUUGGCACCUCGAUGUCGGCUCAUCACAUCCUGGGGCUGGAGAAGGUCCCAAGGGUUUGGCUGUUCGCCAAUUAAAGUGGUACGCGAGCUGGGUUCAGAACGUCGUGAGACAGUUUGGCCUCUAUCCUCCGUGAUCGAUUGGAAAAUUGCGAGAACUUGCUCCUAGUACGAGAGGACCGGAGUGAACGAACCUCUGGUGUACCUGUUGUCGCGUCAGCGGCAUUGCAGGGUAGCUAUGUUUGGACGAGAUAACCGCUGAAAGCAUCUAAGUGGGAAGCUCAUCUCAAGAUUAAUUUUCCCCAUAAACCCCCAUCAAGAACAGGUGGUAGAUAGGCUACAGGUGUACGCGCAGUAAUGCGUUUAGCCGAGUAGUACUAAUGGGUGAUUGAACAUUUAUUU
rnacentral:rRNA from 1 species